rnacentral:rRNA from 1 species
GAGCGGCGUACGGGUGCGGAACACGUGUGCAACCUGCCUUUAUCAGGGGGAUAGCCUUUCGAAAGGAAGAUUAAUACCCCAUAAUAUAUUGAGUGGCAUCACUUAAUAUUGAAAACUCCGGUGGAUAGAGAUGGGCACGCGCAAGAUUAGAUAGUUGGUGAGGUAACGGCUCACCAAGUCUGCGAUCUUUAGGGGGCCUGAGAGGGUGAUCCCCCACACUGGUACUGAGACACGGACCAGACUCCUACGGGAGGCAGCAGUGAGGAAUAUUGGACAAUGGGUGCGAGCCUGAUCCAGCCAUCCCGCGUGAAGGACGACGGCCCUAUGGGUUGUAAACUUCUUUUGUAUAGGGAUAAACCUACUCUCGUGAGAGUAGCUGAAGGUACUAUACGAAUAAGCACCGGCUAACUCCGUGCCAGCAGCCGCGGUAAUACGGAGGGUGCAAGCGUUAUCCGGAUUUAUUGGGUUUAAAGGGUCCGUAGGCGGAUCUGUAAGUCAGUGGUGAAAUCUCACAGCUUAACUGUGAAACUGCCAUUGAUACUGCAGGUCUUGAGUGUUGUUGAAG